rnacentral:tRNA from 1 species
CAGGACGUGGCUGAGAUAGACAAGCAUCUCCCUUACACCGAGAAGACAUCCAUGCAAAUUGGAUCAUCCUGA